GACAGCCCCAGAGAGGCUUGUGAAACACUUGCUGUGAAGAAAUAUUUCCAUUGAGAAAAAGUUCCCUGGUGCUCAUGCUCCCAGUGGCUCAGGCCUAGUCUGCACUCAGCGGCUGCCAGGACCUCCGGGGAGCGCCCACACACCCCACAGCCCGCCUGUCCUGGGAAUACCUCUCCAGGCCCUGAAUACCUGUCCCCCACUCCCUGCCUAGGACAACGGGGGCUGUCAGGGCCAUGGGCAGGCCCGCCCCACCAACCAGACCCUACGUGGGCUCCGCUUUGGUCCCGGAGCCAAUGUCUGGCUGAUCAGGGAACAAGAGGAGCCUUCAGCACCUCGAUUCUGGGACGGUUGAGGUUUUCACACCGGGCCACACCUGAGCCACUAGGAGCCGGGAGGCUCGGAUCGUCUGUCCGUCUGUCUCCCUCUGGAGACAGGGCUGACUUCGUUCCACAUCCACGCGGAAACAGCAGGGCUAUCUCAGUGCAAUCCUGGUUUUGUAUUCAGAGCCUCCUCUGAGUGAGUGCCAGGGUGCACCGUGGAAGGAGCCUGGCUUUGCCUACUGCAGUCCCAUGCCCUCA
rnacentral:lncRNA from 1 species